rnacentral:rRNA from 1 species
GCAAUUACCCAAUUCUAACAGUUUGAGAGAGGUAGUAACAAGAAAUAACAAUACAAGGCAGUUAAAAUGCUUUGUAAUUGGAAUGAUAGAAAUUUAAACCCUUUUUAAAGUAUCAAUUGGAGGGCAAGUCUGGUGCCAGCAGCCGCGGUAAUUCCAGCUCCAAUAGCGUAUAUUAAAAUUGUUGCAGUUAAAAAGCUCGUAGUUGAAGUUCUGCUAAAAGUAACCGGUCUGCUUUUAAUAAAGGUGGUAUCUUGGUGUGUAUUUAGCAAUGAUGUCCUUUGAAGUGUUUUUUACUUUAUUGUAAUAAAGCAUAUUCAGGACUUUUACUUUGAGAAAAUUAGAGUGUUUCUAGCAGGCUAACGCUUUGAAUACUGCAGCAUGGAAUAAUAAGAUAGGAUUUUAGUUCUACAUUAUUGGUUUUAAGAGCUAAAUUAAUGAUUGAUAGGGACAGUUGGGGGCAUCCUAU